GCCGAGGUGGUGAAACUGGUAGACACGCCAGACUCAAAAUCUGGUGGGGCUUCGCCUCGUGCGGGUUCGACUCCCGCCCUCGGCA
rnacentral:tRNA from 1 species